rnacentral:rRNA from 1 species
UACAGAGGGUGCAAGCGUUAAUCGGAAUUACUGGGCGUAAAGCGUGCGUAGACGGUUAUGUAAGUCGGGUGUGAAAGCCCCGGGCUCAACCUGGGAAUGCCAUUCGAGACUGCAUAGCUAGGGUGCGGAAGAGGGAAGCGGAAUUUCCGGUGUAGCGGUGAAAUGCGUAGAUAUCGGAAGGAACACCAGUGGCGAAAGCGACUUCCUGGACCAAUACUGACGCUCAUGUGCGAAAGCGUGGGGAGCAAACAGG